UACGUAGGGUGCAAGCGUUAAUCGGAAUUACUGGGCGUAAAGCGUGCGCAGGCGGUUUUGUAAGUUUGUCGUGAAAUCCCCCGGGCUCAACCUGGGAAUUGCGUUGGAGACUGCAAGGCUAGAAUCUGGCAGAGGGGGGUAGAAUUCCACGUGUAGCAGUGAAAUGCGUAGAGAUGUGGAGGAACACCGAUGGCGAAGGCAGCCCCCUGGGUCAAGAUUGACGCUCAUGCACGAAAGCGUGGGGAGCAAACAGG
rnacentral:rRNA from 1 species